AAUGGUGUAGCAUCACUACAACA
rnacentral:sRNA from 1 species